rnacentral:rRNA from 1 species
UACGGAGGGUGCUAGCGUUGUUCGGAAUUACUGGGCGUAAAGCGCACGUAGGCGGCUAUCCAAGUUGGGGGUGAAAUCCCUGGGCUUAACCCAGGAACUGCCUUCAAAACUGGAUGGCUAGAGUCCGAGAGAGGUGAGUGGAAUUUCCAGUGUAGAGGUGAAAUUCGUAGAUAUUGGAAAGAACACCAGUGGCGAAGGCGGCUCACUGGCUCGGUACUGACGCUGAGGUGCGACAGCGUGGGGAGCAAACAGG